UUUAAGUGCAAUCAUGAGUUUUCGUGUCCAACUUUAAUCGUUCGUCUUAUUUAAAUUUUUUUAUAAUUGUAUUUUUGUUUUUAUGAAAUAAUAAAACAUGAAUAAUACUUUACUCAUGACUUAUGUUUUUAAUUUUUUUAAAAAAAUUAGAGUAAAAUGCACCAGCGGUCCUUAAACUUGUCAGCAGGUUUCACUUAGG
rnacentral:pre_miRNA from 1 species